GCUGCAGGCCUGUGGGGGUGGGGUGGGAUGGGGAGGGAGAAGCAAGAGGUGGCAGCAGAACACGCCUGCCACAGCGGCGGCGCUUCCCUGCGAGCCGAGCAGUGCUGCACUGAGCCAGGCCACGUCGGUGUGUGCGCAGGAGCUUCUGGGGGAGGCAAGAGGCAGCGGGGGAGCCGGGCAGCAAGGCACGUGGCAAGGGAGACAUGGCCCUAACCUGCUAUCUCAGCUGUUAAAUACAGACAAAACCACACCCUCUUCAAGACUCAGCAGUUUAAGGAUGGAGACCAGAGCUUUGAAUCUGUGGAAGAUGGUCUUAAAGAGCCUCGGUCCAAUAGCUUAGGCUUCUGAAGUUUCCUGAAAACUGCUUAUGUCCGGCAAAAUGUCCUUGCCAGUCCACGUUGCUGCACUCGUACCCACACAGGUGGUUCUGGAAAUGCCUUCCGAUUCUGCCACUGACUCACUCUCUGACUGUAGGCAAGUCCUUUUGGGCCAGAUUCUGAUCUCAUCUCAUCAAUCCAGGCAGAGUGAGUACAGCUUUUGGGUUUGGAAUUUAACUCUUGACUUGCAGUGCAGUGAACCCAACCUCAGGAUCAUUGUGCUUGUGCAAGCGAACGAGAUGUGAAAUGAAUCAGAAACUGAGCAAUUUAGCUACACUGUCCAAGCCCUGUGAAGUACAAAUUAUAAACAAACAUCAUACAAGGCUGAAGAGAAGCGGGAUCAAAGUGCUCCCAGUCCUCUCCAAGAACAUCU